rnacentral:rRNA from 1 species
AUUGAACGCUGGCGGCAGGCCUAACACAUGCAAGUCGAGCGUGCGGCGGACGGGUGAGUAAUGUCUGGGAAACUGCCUGAUGCAGGGGGAUAACUACUGGAAACGGUAGGUAAUACCGCAUACCAUCAGAUUUGCCCAGAUGGGAUUAGCUAGUAGGUGGGGUAACGGCUCACCUAGGCGACGAUCCCUAGCCGGUCUGAGAGGUUGACCAGCCACACGGGAACUGAGACACGGUCCAGACUCCUACGGGAGGCAGCAGUGGGGAAUAUUGCACAAUGGGCGCAAGCCUGAUGCAGCCAUGCCGCGUGUGUGAAGAAGGCCUUCGGGUUGGAAAGCACUUUCAGCGGGGAGGCGUUACCCGCAGAAGAAGCACCGGCUAACUCCGUGCCAGCAGCCGCGGUAAUAC